GACGUAGGGCGCGAGCGUUGUCCGGAUUUAUUGGGCGUAAAGAGCUCGUAGGCGGCUUGUCGCGUCGUUCGUGAAAACUUGGGGCUCAACCCCAAGCUUGCGGUCGAUACGGGCAGGCUAGAGUUCGGUAGGGGAGACUGGAAUUCCUGGUGUAGCGGUGAAAUGCGCAGAUAUCAGGAGGAACACCGGUGGCGAAGGCGGGUCUCUGGGCCGAUACUGACGCUGAGGCGCGAAAGCUAGGGGAGCAAACAGG
rnacentral:rRNA from 1 species